rnacentral:lncRNA from 1 species
UAGUAUGACUUUUUCGUUGCAUUGAUGAAAAACGAGUUUUUAAACAAAUAGAUAAUUUAUAAGUCAAUCGGUUUUGAAUUAAAUGUAUUAUUUCGUAAAAAGGGUCGUAAAACGCUAAGUUUUUCUGAAAAUAGACUAAGUUUUCUCUAAAGUUAAAUAAAUGUUUUAAAACGGCUAUUUUAUAAACUUUGCCAGCUUAAUGGGUCAUCUCAGUGGCCAAUGUAAUCUGUUGAAUUCGGGCCUAAUGUCUAGGCCGGGUUGGGGAGGUCACAUUUGGUAGUAUCAAAGCCUAGAUUUUCUAAACUUGCACUAUGGAAAUUUGAGGAAGUCUACAUGAAUGCAUCAAAAAAUGGUAUUUUAAGAAAAAACCAUGCCACAGUUUUUGAAAAAUUAAUUUUUCUACAGGAAAUUAAAUCCAAGACCCCAUUAUCAGUCUUAACUUAGAUACUUUUGAAACUUUAGAUAAAUUGUGAUCGUUAUACUGUAAAUACUUAGGAAAUAGCUAAUGCUUGAAGCCCUUUGUUUGAAACCUAUAGAUACCCUUUAGAUCCUAGAUUUUUGAGAGUUCACUAUGAACACUUAAGGUAGACGUGGUAGGUGUAAGCCACGCAGGGCUGCACUUGUAGAGUCGCCUACUGUUCAGGGCGAGAACCGGAUCCAUGAAGAGGACUAUGUUGAGAACUCUACCGCCAAUGGUGGCGGAGGCUAUGACAACGACAACGGCAAUGACGUUGUGACGUAGGCAAUGCUAAAAGUAUUGCAAAGGGUUGCUUGAGCCUAAACUGGAUUGGGGAGCCAUGGAUCUGUUGCGGAGAGAUUGCGAUCAAAUGGGGCUAAGAUGUUCAAAGGCGUUUCUAGAACAACUCCUAUCAUGGCUGAGUAUCGGAUGGAGUCGACAAAAGGGUGGUAAAACGUUAAGUUUUUUCGAAAAUAGUAAGUUUCCUCUAAAGUUAAACAAAUGUUUUAAAACGACUUUUUUUUAUAAAUUCUGCCAACUUAGUGGGUCGUCUCGGUAGCCAAUGUAAUCUCCUGAAUUCGGGUCUAACAUCUAGGCUGAGUUGGGGAGGUUACAGGUUACUCAAACAAGUCAC